rnacentral:rRNA from 1 species
CUAGCGUUGCUCGGAAUCACUGGGCGUAAAGCGCACGUAGGCGGCUUUUUAAGUCAGGGGUGAAAUCCUGGAGCUCAACUCCAGAACUGCCUUUGAUACUGAGAAGCUUGAGUCCGGGAGAGGUGAGUGGAACUGCGAGUGUAGAGGUGAAAUUCGUAGAUAUUCGCAAGAACACCAGUGGCGAAGGCGGCUCACUGGCCCGAUACUGACGCUGAGGUGCGAAAGCGUGGGGAGCAAACAGG